rnacentral:lncRNA from 1 species
GGCGCGGAGCCGCGCGGAGUGACAAAGCCGCCGCUGCCGCCGCCGGGGGUGGGAGCCGCGCUCGCCCGCCCGCCCCUCGACUCGCGAGGGCGUAAAAGUUUGUCUCAGCUCGAGCAUUCCUAGCGCCAACACGCCCUCAGGUAAAGGUGGAAGUAAAUGGCCACGCUGUAUUGACAGAGGUAGAUGAAACUCAAGAGAAAAGGUGUGGAUAAAUGAAACUAGCCCAUGAUGAACCUGUUUUCUCCGUGACCACAAUAUUAACCAGGAUGAAUGGCGGUGGCAGUGGGCCUGCAUCACAGGUUGCAGCAGAUGUUCUCAAUAUUUCUAUUAAAAUUUCCUUAUUUCCAUAUGCAAGAGGAGCCCCAGAGCUGCAUCCUUAUGGUAGCUACCAUGCCGUGAUGUAAGCUGCCAUUCACUGGGGAGCUUUGGCAAUAGAAUUGGCUAGAUCAGGAAGCCUAUGUCAACUAUGGAACAACAACUUGCAGCUCAUCUCUAUUGAUGAUACACUGCCUCUAGGACUGGGACAGAUAGCCACUGAGUACCUGCUUCAAAUCACCCUGCACGUUUUCUCUUUGGAAAGAUAAGCACUGGAGAACCAUCUCGUUACCUUCAGCAGAAAUGGAAACAAAUCAAGACAUUAAGAAUGCCGCAGUGGACAGCAGUUAUGCAAGGUUCAGCAGAGGAAGUUUUCAAGAUGGUGUGCCUCACUAGCCAGAAAUCAGAAAAGAUCGAAGCUAGCCUUUUCAUCUCAGCUGCUCCUUAAAUCAGUGCAACCCCUCCAAAUUAAUGUGAAUUGAAACUUGCAUUGCUUUUCAACUUAAUUGAAUACUUACUAUAUGUGAACCACUGCACAAAAUAGGGGAAGAAGAUGUGGGAGACAAAGAUGUGGAGCCUGUCUUCAAUAAAUUUACAGUUAGUUUCAGGGUACAUUGUUUUUCUUCUGCUGUUAAUUAGGUGUAUCCCCAAGACAAUAAAUACAUGAAUGGAAAAGUAUAUUCUGUGUUUUAAGUCUCUUUAAUAAAAAACAAAACAAAAUCCAAAAAAACUCCUAACAUGGCAACUCAGGACAUUUUAAUCCUUUUUUUUGUUGUUGGGCUUCUGAUAGGAUCCAUUUUAUUGAUUCCAUAAAUAUUUAGUAGACUUUAGACAUAUUAAUACAUUGUAGUUUGAGUUAAUUUGCAUUAAAUUCUGUUUUUUUCCCCUUAGGUAUAGAUUGUCUGUUGGAAAAAUAUAUUGCUUGUGGAUUUCUUGGGGAGUGGGAAGGUGAAUUAUACCUGUUGUCUCUACAGUCCACUACCUUCCACACCCUAGGGCAGUGGUCCCCAACCUUCUUGGCACCAGGGAUCAGUUUCCUGGAAGACAAUUUUUCUGUGGAUGGUGUGGGGAUGGUUUUGGGAUGGAACUGUUCCACCUCAGAUCAUCAGGCAUUAGUUAGGCUCUCAUAACGAGUGCGCAGCCUAGAUCCCUCACAUGCACAGUUCACAGUAGGGUUUGCGCUGCUAUGAGAAUCUAAGGCUGCCACUGAUCUGACAGGAGGCAGAACUCAGGUGGCAAUGCUUACUGGCCCACUGCUCACCUCUUGCUGUGCGGCCUGGUUCCUAAUAGGCCAUGGACCCCCACAGACGGGUACUAGUCUGCAGCCUGUGGACCCCAGCCCUAGGGGCCUGCCAUUCUGAGUGAGUUAUUAGCAUGAAGAAGAGGAAGAUCUGGAUCAAACGUGGGUGAUGGUACUCAGAGACCCAAGAUAGGAUAGGGAUGGAACAAAAUCCAUCUGGGCAACGGCUCUAUGAAAAUUUGGCUAAGUAAUUAUUUCAGUAUUCAUUGUAUUCAUUGUCCUUCGUGUUCCAUAAGUUAAAUGACUGUCUAAUUUUUCCAAAAAUUUAUUUCUGACUUGAGAAUAAGUGUGUCAUGAUUUUCCCAGUGUAAAGACACUGAUAUAACUGUAGAUACCAGACAUUUUAUGUAGUGUCUAUGACACAUUUUAGUAUGUAUGAGCCAACAAUAGACAUGUCUUUGUCUUGAGGAGUGUCCAUCUGAAUUGAAAAUGUGUCAGCUUUUUUUUAACAUCAUCAACAGACUUCUUAAUUAAGCUGCCAAUACAUACUGCCAAUAGCACUGUGUGCUGUCUGAGAAAUGCAUUGUGUAAGUGCUAUUUCCAUCUUAUUAAAUAAACAAUGUUGCUCUGUAUAAACUGGAUUUAAAGUGUUCUUUGAAUGAGGCAUUAUAUUGCUCCAUAAAUAAUGUGAUGUGAAUUCUCAUAUGAUCCCUUUUAACUUAAUUUCUAAAAAAAUAUUAUUUGCUCCUCAGUAAGGAAUAGCUCUAAUUGGACUGGUAACUUUAGUGAUAUGAUUUGUCUGUAACAGGCUGAAUCGCCCCACUCCCAAACUCCUGGUCGUGAUACUGGAUAUUUGUUAUGCCACUUUUAGUUUGCAUGAGGUAUCUUCCAGGAAGUAUUAGUUAUUAACUUGUGUUCUACUAAACUGUAGAUAUUUAUUUCCUGUUCUGGAAGAUUUCUUGGAGUGUCCAUCUGUGCAUUCCUGGUGCCUAGUGUAGUCUUGCUAAUGGAAUAGCACCUUUAUUGGUGCUACUUAGGGGUUGGUAGCUUACAAUCAAUCUACUUGGAACGUAUCCAAAUAAACUGGAUAUUUUUAUACA